UGGAUAUAAAAUUGAGAAAGGAAAUGGUGAAUAUGUCAAAGCGACAACCACCCGACCAUAGAGCAAACAACAGCCGAAGGCAACCAAUGGGUCUUCAAUGUAGCGAGAAUUCCCGCACCCGUAGGUGUCCUUCAGCUGGCCCCUAAAAUAUGCAUAAUAGUACAGUGAUAAUGGACGUCAUACUUAACUCCGAAUUAUACACAAGAAACUAAAAUUUAAAAUCAUACAAGACUAACAAAGGCCAGAGGCUCCUGACUUGGGACAGGCGCAAAAUUGCGGCGGGGUUAAACAUGUUUAUGAGAUCUCAACCCUCCCCCUAUACCUCUAGCCAAUGUAGAAAAGUAAAACAAUAACAAUACGCACAUUAAAAUUCAGUUCAAGAGAAGUCCGAGUCUGAUGUCAAAAGAUGUAACAAAAGAAAAUAAAUAAAAUGACAAUAAUACAUAAAUAACAACAGACUACUAGCAGUUAACUGACAUGCCAGCUCCAGACCUCAAUUAAACUGAUUGAAAGAUUAUGUCUUCAUCAUAUGAAUAUCAGGUACAAUCCCUCCCGUUAGGGGUUUAGUAUCAUACUAUCAUAAAAUAUAUGAGAAGAACAUAACCCGUGUCAUGCCAAC
rnacentral:lncRNA from 1 species